UACGUAGGUGGCAAGCGUUGUCCGGAUUUACUGGGUGUAAAGGGCGUGUAGGCGGGAGGAUAAGUCAGAUGUGAAAUUCCAUGGCUCAACUGUGGCGCUGCAUCUGAAACUAUUUUUCUUGAGUGCUGGAGAGGAAAGCGGAAUUCCUAGUGUAGCGGUGAAAUGCGUAGAUAUUAGGAGGAACACCAGUGGCGAAGGCGACCCUUUGGCCUGUAACUGACGCUGAGGCGCGAAAGCGUGGGGAGCAAACAGG
rnacentral:rRNA from 1 species